rnacentral:rRNA from 1 species
UACGUAGGGUGCAAGCGUUGUCCGGAAUUAUUGGGCGUAAAGAGCUCGUAGGCGGUUCGUCGCGUCGGCUGUGAAAACCCGGAGCUCAACUCCGGGCCUGCAGUCGAUACGGGCGGACUUGAGUGUUGCAGGGGAGACUGGAAUCCCUGGUGUAGCGGUGAAAUGCGCAGAUAUCAGGAGGAACACCGGUGGCGAAGGCGGGUCUCUGGGCAACUACUGACGCUGAGGAGCGAAAGCGUGGGGAGCGAACAGG